GACAGAGGGUGCAAACGUUGUUCGGAAUUACUGGGCGUAAAGCGUGUGUAGGCGGCUGCGUAAGUCGGAUGUGAAAGCCCCAGGCUCAACCCUGGAAGUGCACUCGAUACUGCUCGGCUAGAGUCCCGGAGAGGAUGGUGGAACUCUCGGUGUAGAGGUGAAAUUCGUAGAUAUCGAGAAGAACACCGGUGGCGAAGGCGGUCAUCUGGACGGUGACUGACGCUGAGACGCGAAAGCGUGGGGAGCAAACAGG
rnacentral:rRNA from 1 species